GCAGACACAUUCCAGCCAAUCAGCAGCAGACCCUCCCUCCCAGACCCUCCCACCUUCUGGACAGCUCACUAAGAAUGCAGCUUCACAAUGAAUGUAAAAUGGAUGCUGACCAGGAGGUGGGAGGGUCUGGGAGGGAGGGUCUGCUGCUGGUUGGCUGGAAUGUGUCUG
rnacentral:miRNA from 1 species